CCUCCUCCCCUAACUUCCCUCCUUCCCGUGCACCUCUCUCCCUCCGCUCCCCAGAUCCACCGCUGCUUCUCCCAGAUCCACCGGUCGCAUCCCUUCCCAGAGCCGGCGGGGACCCGCGGGACCCGGUGCGUGCGGGGAGCAGCCCGCGGCGGGGACCGAGCUCGCAGGAGGCGCGCAGGAGCAGCGGCCAGCGGGGCGCGGGAGCGGCGCCUACCCUCGACGCGGCCCACGCGCCGCAACAGCAGCUCGCGCGCCCCCGCGACGGGGAGGCGGCCGUGCGUGCCCGCGGCCAAGCCUGUGCGAGGCCGACAGUCACGGCAAGGUGUCCUCGGCCUCCGGGACGGCGACAGCCGGGCCUGAGGUGACCGCGCGCUCGGACGGAGGCAGCUGCCAGCUGCCCGGCCGCAUGUGCAGAUUUAGCUGGAGCUCCGUCGGCCUACAUGUUGAGCCCAUCCCUGUGCGUCGCUCCCCCCUCUCAGAUCCGGACGAGGAGGAGAUGGCCAUGGGCGAGGUGGAGGCGGAGCCCGAGGAGCAGGAGGCUGCAGCGGCCGCCGGGUUGAACCGCGGUCAUGCAGUGCUGAUCGAGAGCACUUAGGAAUGAGAACCCAAAGAUUACUAAUGGCAGCUUGGGAGGCAAUCGACCACUGCUCCCGCGCCGUGCUGACUCCUUCGAGAAGAUAGAUAAGCACGCCAAAGCUAAAUAUAUUGAUGACGUGUUGAUUCUCUCAUGUGAUCACCUCUACCGCAUGGACUGUCCAUGGACUUUGUUCAGUCUCAUCGGCAAAGAGGUCUGAGCAUCAACAUCCGUGGAUGUGAGCAUGAAUAAUGCAAAACUUGAGCUCGUGCUUGAAGCAUGGGUUUGGUUGAAGCUACUUUUUAUUUGCUAUAUUAUGAGAUUUUGUGUUAGAUUAACUAGAGAUAGACUGAUUUCACGCUGAAUCGGAAAACUUUGAUGUUGACAUGUUGGAUCAGAAUUUAUAUACGGGCUUCAUGAUGAUGGUUUGAUUAGAAAAUGAGCCAUAUUUUAAUGGGCCGGAUGUAAAAUGGGCUUAGCUUUCUUCAUUCAUGAGCAGAUAUGUAAAUGGGCUAUAUGCAAAUAGGCCCAACUUGACCCAGUUGCUUGCUGCCACAUCAUCGUUCAUGUUAGCAUCCAUGUGGAGACCACGUCAUCAGCACUAUCCACAUCAUCAUCACGUCAGCAGCUAUGUUAUUGGCCAUGUCAGCAGACACGUCAUCCUCCAUGCCAUCUGUGUGCCAUGUUGUUGGCCACGUCAGCAGACACGUCAUUCUCCAUGCCAUCUUUGUGUGAUGUGGUAAUUGAAUUUGUGAUGCUUAUUUUCAUCAUUAGUAAUUGAAUUUGUGAUGUUUAUUUUUAUCAUUAAUAUUGGGCUUGAGUUGGGCUGUGCGGGCUUCAGGCCAUUAUGUGAUGGUCAAGAAACGUCAUGGGUGGCUUCAAUUUGUGAUGAUUUUGUAAAAAUGCUGAUUAAUUUAAUCUGUGACGCUCAAUACAUGAUGUUAUCUGAAA